AGGAAUACUAAAGGACGUUCUCCACAUUGAAGGAAAAUGAUCUAAAGAGAAACAGAUCUGUAAGAAGAAAUGAAGAGCACUGGUAAAGGACCUCGACCCCUCUCCUGCCUCAGGACAGCAAACUCAACCAGCCUCCAAGACGGGGCCUUUCUUCAGUAGCAGGUCCAGCAUAGCAAGUGGGUGGUGAGAUGCCGGCAGUGGAAUUCUAGAAGCAGUGCCUCCCAGAACAGCACUACAGUACUGAGGAAGGACUAUGCACAACCCCAGGAGGACCACCAUGGGAAGCAGCAUGAACUUCACAGGCUGG
rnacentral:lncRNA from 10 species